UCCCUCAAUUAAAUCAAUUUAAAUAUGGUAAUUAGUCCAAUUUGGCAAAAGAAACCUGCAAGAACAUGGCUAAAGCAAGCAAGAAACGAAAUUUCACUGAAAACGAAUUAGAGGUGCUACUAUCAGAGGUAGAAACAAGAAAAAAUAUUUUAUUUGGAAAUCUGUCCUCUGGAAUUAAUAACAAAAGAAAGAAAAAAGAGUGGGCGAGUUUGUCUGAUGCCGUCAACGCGGUGGGAUCUGAGAGUCGCACCGUAAAUGAACUGAAGAAGAAAUGGUCAGACAUAAAGGUGGAAGUUAAGCGGAGAACUGCUGCGCACCGACAAAGUGUGGGCAGAACAGGCGGUGGUACAGGGACCGAUGAACUUGCACCCUUUGAUCAGAGAGUUGCCUCUAUUGUAGGAGACACGUUAAUCUCUGGAAUCGUAUAUCCGCUGAUGUAGGAGACUCGGAUAUACUACAGGACUGCCAGCAAGGAACCGCAGGAACGUCCACUGGCACGCACUCAGAGUCCGCACCACCUGAGCAGCCAGAGCCCAUUCAGUCCAGCGUCUCCCGUGUCUCUAAUGUUCCCCCCAGUGCUGAAGCCCGUCCAUCUGGCCGUGUCUUGACGCAUGCUGUUCUGGAGUCACAACAACAAAUUGUUAGGGCCAUUGAAGAAAUGAACAGUCACCUUAAAAAUGUCACUGACGCACUCACAGAAAUAAGCCAUUCAUUAAAAGAAUUGGUCAAAAAAUGAA